UUAAAAAGCUCGUAGUUGGAUUUCUGUGGGGACGGAGCGGCCGACCGCAACUCGCGGUUCGAGCUAGCGCUUUCCCUACAUCCUGCCGCGAACCGUGCUACCAUUAGUUUGGUGGCGCCGGGGAUCGGCUCGUUUACUUUGAGAAAAAUAGAGUGUUCAAAGCAGGCCACACGCCUUGAAUAAGUUAGCAUGGAAUAAUAACUAAGGACUUCGGUUCUAUUUUGUUGGUGUUCGGGACUGAAGUAAUGAUUGAUAGGGACAGUUGGGGCGGUCCGUAUUCCAAAGCGAGAGGUGAAAUUCUUAGACCUUCGGAAGACGAACAGCUGCGAAAGCGUUCCGCAAGGAUGUUCCCUUUGAUCAAGAACGAAAGAUGGGGGAUCGAAGACGAUCAGAUACCGUCGUAGUCUCAACUAUAAACUAUACCAGCUAGGGAUCGGCCAACGUUAUUCUAUACCGACUUGGUCGGCACCUUAUGAGAAAUCAAAGCAUCUGGGUUCCGGGGGGAGUAUGGU
rnacentral:rRNA from 1 species